AAAUUGAAGAGUUUGAUCAUGGCUCAGAUUGAACGCUGGCGGCAGGCCUAACACAUGCAAGUCGAGCGGUAGCACAGAGAGCUUGCUCUCGGGUGACGAGCGGCGGACGGGUGAGUAAUGUCUGGGAAACUGCCUGAUGGAGGGGGAUAACUACUGGAAACGGUAGCUAAUACCGCAUAAUGUCGCAAGACCAAAGUGGGGGACCUUCGGGCCUCAUGCCAUCAGAUGUGCCCAGAUGGGAUUAGCUAGUAGGUGGGGUAACGGCUCACCUAGGCGACGAUCCCUAGCUGGUCUGAGAGGAUGACCAGCCACACUGGAACUGAGACACGGUCCAGACUCCUACGGGAGGCAGCAGUGGGGAAUAUUGCACAAUGGGCGCAAGCCUGAUGCAGCCAUGCCGCGUGUAUGAAGAAGGCCUUCGGGUUGUAAAGUACUUUCAGCGGGGAGGAAGGCGAUAAGGUUAAUAACCUUGUCGAUUGACGUUACCCGCAGAAGAAGCACCGGCUAACUCCGUGCCAGCAGCCGCGGUAAUACGGAGGGUGCAAGCGUUAAUCGGAAUUACUGGGCGUAAAGCGCACGCAGGCGGUCUGUCAAGUCGGAUGUGAAAUCCCCGGGCUCAACCUGGGAACUGCAUUCGAAACUGGCAGGCUAGAGUCUUGUAGAGGGGGGUAGAAUUCCAGGUGUAGCGGUGAAAUGCGUAGAGAUCUGGAGGAAUACCGGUGGCGAAGGCGGCCCCCUGGACAAAGACUGACGCUCAGGUGCGAAAGCGUGGGGAGCAAACAGGAUUAGAUACCCUGGUAGUCCACGCCGUAAACGAUGUCGAUUUGGAGGUUGUGCCCUUGAGGCGUGGCUUCCGGAGCUAACGCGUUAAAUCGACCGCCUGGGGAGUACGGCCGCAAGGUUAAAACUCAAAUGAAUUGACGGGGGCCCGCACAAGCGGUGGAGCAUGUGGUUUAAUUCGAUGCAACGCGAAGAACCUUACCUGGUCUUGACAUCCACAGAACUU
rnacentral:rRNA from 1 species